AUUGAACGCUGGCGGCAUGCCUUACACAUGCAAGUCGAACGGUAACAGGUCUUCGGAUGCUGACGAGUGGCGAACGGGUGAGUAAUACAUCGGAACGUGCCUAGUAGUGGGGGAUAACUACUCGAAAGAGUGGCUAAUACCGCAUGAGAUCUACGGAUGAAAGCAGGGGACCGCAAGACCUUGUGCUACUAGAGCGGCCGAUGGCAGAUUCGGUAGUUGGUGGGAUAAAAGCUUACCAAGCCGACGAUCUGUAGCUGGUCUGAGAGGACGAUCAGCCACACUGGGACUGAGAAACGGACCAGACUCCUACGGGAGGCAGCAGUGGGGAAUUUUGGACAAUGGGCGCAAGCCUGAUCCAGCAAUGCCGCGUGCAGGAUGAAGGCCUUCGGGUUGUAAACUGCUUUUGUACGGAACGAAAAGCCCUGGGUUAAUACCCUGGGGUCAUGACGGUACCGUAAGAAGAAGCACCGGCUAACUACGUGCCAGCAGCCGCAGUAAAAC
rnacentral:rRNA from 1 species